rnacentral:rRNA from 1 species
UGAGGAAUAUUGGGCAAUGGAGGGAACUCUGACCCAGCCAUGCCGCGUGAGUGAAGAAGGUUUUCGGAUUGUAAAGCUCUUUCGGAUGUGAAGAUAAUGACGGUAGCAUCUAAAGAAGCCCCGGCAAACUUCGUGCCAGCAGCCGCGGUAAUACGAAGGGGGCGAGCGUUGUUCGGAAUUACUGGGCGUAAAGGGUGUGUAGGUGGAUAUGUAAGAUAGAGGUGAAAUGCCUGGGCUCAACCUGGGAACUGCCUUUAUAACUAUGUAUCUAGAACGAUAGAGAGGAUAGUGGAAUACCCAGUGUAGAGGUGAAAUUCGUAGAUAUUGGGUAGAACACCGGUGGCGAAGGCGACUAUCUGGCUAUUUGUUGACACUGAGGCACGAAAGCAUGGGGAUCAAACA